rnacentral:rRNA from 1 species
AUUGAACGCUGGCGGCAGGCCUAACACAUGCAAGUCGAACGAGUGGCGGACGGGUGAGUACUGUCUGGGAAACUGCCUGAUGGAGGGGGAUAACUACUGGAAACGGUAGCUAAUACCGCAUACCAUCGGAUGUGCCCAGAUGGGAUUAGCUAGUAGGUGGGGUAACGGCUCACCUAGGCGACGAUCCCUAACUGGUCUGAGAGGCUGACCAGCCACCCUGGAUAGGAGACACGGUCCAGACUCCUACGGGAGUCAGCAGUGGGGAAUAUUGCACAAUGGGAGCAAGCCUGAUGCACCCAUGCCGGGUGUAUGAAGAAGGCCUCCGGGUUGUAAAUUACUUUCAGCGGGGAGGCGUGACCUGCAGAAGAAGCACCGGCUAACUCCGUGCCAGCAGCCGAGGUAAUAC